rnacentral:rRNA from 1 species
GACGAACGCUGGCGGCGUGCUUAACACAUGCAAGUCGAACGGAAAGGCCCUGCUUGCAGGGUGCUCGAGUGGCGAACGGGUGAGUAACACGUGGGUGAUCUGCCCCUUACUUUGGGAUAAGCCUGGGAAACUGGGUCUAAUACUGGAUAGGACCAUGCUGUAGGUGAUGUGGUGGAAAGAUUAGUUUCGGUUAGGGAUGAGCUCGCGGCCUAUCAGCUUGUUGGUGGGGUAAUGGCCUACCAAGGCGUCGACGGGUAGCCGGCCUGAGAGGGUGGACGGCCACGUUGGGACUGCGACACGGGGCAGAAGCCUACGAGAGGCAGCAGUGGGGGAUAGUGCGCAAUGGGCGUAAGCCGGAUGCAGCGACGGCGCGUGGGGGAUGACGGCCUUCGGGUUGUAAAGAACAUUCAGCCAUGACGAAGCCCUUGUGGUGACGGUAGUGGUAGAAGAAGCACCGGCUAACUACGUG